GAGGACCGUAUUCAUGGAAGAGGAUCGAACAGUAAAGAGCCCAGCAUUUGAUAAAAAUGAGAAUAUAUCGCCUCAAGCAGAAGCAGAUGAAGAUAUGGGAGAUGAAGUAGACAGUAUGUUGGAUAAAUCUGAAGCUGCAUCAUUGGACUCAAACUGAAUGGUCCAUGUGUUGCCACUGAUGUGAGCCAUU
rnacentral:lncRNA from 1 species